rnacentral:rRNA from 1 species
UACGUAGGGCGCAAGCGUUGUCCGGAAUUAUUGGGCGUAAAGAGCUCGUAGGCGGUUUGUCGCGUCUGCUGUGAAAACCUAAGGCUCAACCUUGGGCUUGCAGUGGGUACGGGCAGACUAGAGUGCGGUAGGGGGUGACUGGAAUUCCUGGUGUAGCGGUGGAAUGCGCAGAUAUCAGGAGGAACACCGGUGGCGAAGGCUGGUUCUCUGG